rnacentral:lncRNA from 1 species
GAGGAAUAUGUUGUUGGGGCAAUGCAGAGAUUAGCACGAGUGGUCAGAAUUAGACAGGCUACAGGUAAACAAGUCCAGGAAAGUAUGGUCUGUAGUUGAAGUUUAGCAAGGAAACAGUCAAUUUUAGCAAGUUCGAUGAGUAUAUGCCAUGAUUUUGGGUUUAGCAAGAUAACUGAGUUCAAGAGCUUUCAAAAGUAUUGCAGAAAAUAUCUGAAGCAGUUUUUUUUUUUUCCCCCCACAAAGGGUUGUAGGGAAAGAAGGGAAAGUCCGACAUCAUCACCAAGGAUGUAAGAGAAAAGAUCUUCAAAAAGAAGGGAUUGGUCAGUGUGUUGAAUUUGCGGAGAAAAAAUGAGAUAAGAACAGAGAAGUGGUACUUGGAGUUAUCAGUGUGGAAGUCACUGGUGAUCUCAGAGUAUCUCAGUUGAGUGGCUAGAAAGGAAGCUUGAUUGUGGUAUGCUGAAGAAAUGGGAGUUGAAGUGGAGACAGCAACUAAAGUUGGUUGAAUCUGUAGUUGCGGAAUACAAAGAUGCAGAGGACUGACUGUCCUGUGACUCCCUCCAGCUUGCUGUGCAAUCACAGGU